rnacentral:lncRNA from 12 species
AGACAGUUAGUCUAAUGUAUUGCAGCCUGUUUGCUAAUGGCAGCCGCCAGUCCUGGCACAGAUGUUGAGCCGUAGAAGAGAGCAGUGCCGCCCAAACUCCCUGUUCCUUCACGGUGAUUAAUGAAACCCCAGCUCACCAAGCUCCUCUCUCAGCCUCCAUGGACUGCUUCGGUCUCUCAGCUGUCGCUGCCCUUAUGGACGUACACCAGCCGCAUUAUUGAGCAAACACUCCAAUUCUGCAGGAAGUAGGUCUAAGGAGCCAACUUGUACUUGCUAGGGUACUUGUGGUGAAUGUUAACAUUUAAUUAGUUUCUUUAAAAGGACUUUAUAUUUCCUGCUGUAUGCUAAUAUGUUUAUUUAAUAUGCAUAUAUCAGCUGUCUAUUUUAGAUUCCAUCACUACUGAAGGCUUUCUACUGAAACCCAUUGGCUACUUAUCUAGAUGUACUCAAUGCACGCCCAUAGCUCCAUCCCAAUUCUAGUAGUAUACAAGUGGAAGAUCAAUACCCCAAAUCAAGGUACACAGAAUACAUUGAAAAAUCAUCUUGGUGUCUAGAUAGUGUACAGUUUUUCUAAAUGUACAUUCACACAAAUUCUCGUGCUUCAGAAUUUUUUGAGCAGUGUUUAAUGGUAAAUAAUAAUGAAUUUUAAGGUCCCUUUAGCUGAAUGCUUUUGGUUGUGUACAGUACUGUGGUAUCUAUCAUUUCUGAUGGUGUGUAGUGCAUCCUAGUACUGGCAUAUACUCUACUUCCUUAAAAACAAAAUGAAAAUUCUCCAGAAAUUUAAUAAUAUCAGAAAACAAGAUAUAAUGGCUUAAACAACAUUGAAACCUAUUGACUUUCAUUGUAAACAGUUCAAAAUAUCUUUCUUGUUCUACAGAUAAAGUUAUACUAGUUUGGAAUGACAUGAGAGGGUGCCAGAAUUUUAUUUUUGGAUUGAGCUGUAGACACCUUCCAAUCACCAGUGAAGUAGGUUGAAUAUAGGUGAGUGGAACACCUUCUGAUAAAAUAUGUGAAAUAUGUUUAGGAAUUGACCUAUCCACUUAAUCCAUUUUCACCCUACAUACUUUAAG